GUCAGGAUGGUCGAGUGGUCUAAGGCGCUGUGUUAAGGUUUCAGUCUCUUCUGGAUUUGUGGGUUCAAAUCCCACUUCUGACA
rnacentral:tRNA from 1 species